rnacentral:misc_RNA from 1 species
ACCUAUGCCAAUUCUGACCUUGAGAACGCAUCCGAAACGUCUGAAAACGGUGAGAUAGCCUAUAAUUUUAAUCUAAUUCUAAAACUUUUUGGAUAGCCUGUCUGUUCGGCCUGAAAUUGCAAACCCAAGCAACUAUUGAAUUUCCGCAGAUUGAAGGUACUUAUGAGAAGUCCACAAUAUGGGGGUUAGUACAUAAUUUUUGCAGAAUUUAUUAAGCUCAUUUAGUGCUCGAAAAA